CAGGCCUACACAUGCAAGUCGCGCGAGAAAGUGGGGGCAACCCUACGAGUAAAGCGGGCACGGGUGAGUAAUACGUAGGUAACCUACCUCCGAGACUGGGAUAACCUCCGAAAGGAGGGCUAAUACUAGAUGAGACCACGGGGCUUUGGCUCUGGGUCAAAGGUGGCCUCUGCUCGCAAGCUACCACUCGAAGAUGGGCCUGCGACCAUUAGCUAGUUGGCGAGGUAACGGCUCACCAAGGCGAAGAUGGUUACUGAUCUGAGAGGAUGAUCAGCCACACUGGGACUGAGACACGGCCCAGAUCCUACGGGAGGCAGCAGUAGGGAAUUUUCCACAAUGGGCGAAAGCCUGUGGAGCAACGCCGCGUGCAGGAUGAAGGCCUUAGGGUUGUAAACUGCUUUAUUGGUGAAGAUUAUGACGGUAGCCAAUGAAUAAGGGUCUGCUAACUAGUGCCAGCAGNCGCGGUAAU
rnacentral:rRNA from 1 species